AGUGAACGCUGGCGGUAGGCCUAACACAUGCAAGUCGAACGGCAGCACAGUAAGAGCUUGCUCUUACGGGUGGCGAGUGGCGGACGGGUGAGGAAUACAUCGGAAUCUACUUUUUCGUGGGGGAGAACGUAGGGAAACUUACGCUAAUACCGCAUACGACCUACGGGUGAAAGCAGGGGAUCUUCGGACCUUGCGCGAUUGAAUGAGCCGAUGUCGGAUUAGCUAGGUGGCGGGGUAAAGGCCCACCAAGGCGACGAUCCGUAGCUGGUCUGAGAGGAUGACCAGCACACUUGGACCUGGACACGGGUCCAGACCCCUACGGGAGCAAGAAGUGGGAAAUUUUGGCAAAUGGGCGAAAGCCUGACCCAGCAAUCCGGCGUGGGUGAAGAAGGCCUUCGGGUUGUAAAGCCCUUUUGUUGGGAAAGAAAAGAAGCAGGUUAAUACCCCGCUGUUCUGACGGUACCAAAAGAAUAAGCCCCGGCUAACUUCGU
rnacentral:rRNA from 1 species